rnacentral:rRNA from 1 species
CCUACGGGAGGCAGCAGUGGGGAAUCUUGCGCAAUGGGGGAAACCCUGAUGCAGCGACGCCGCGUGAGUGAUGAAGGAUUUCGGUAUGUAAAGCUCUAUCAGCAGGGAAGAAAAUGACGGUACCUGACUAAGAAGCCCCGGCUAACUACGGGCCAGCAGCCGCGGUAAGACGUAGGGGGCAAGCGUUAUCCGGAUUUACUGGGUGUAAAGGGAGCGUAGACGGCAGCGCAAGUCUGAAGUGAAAUGCCGGGGCUUAACCCCGGAACUGCUUUGGAAACUGUGCAGCUAGAGUGCAGGAGAGGUAAGUGGAAUUCCAAGUGUAGCGGUGAAAUGCGUAGAUAUUAGGAGGAACACCAGUGGCGAAGGCGACUUACUGGACUGUAACUGACGUUGAGGUUCGAAAGCGUGGGGAGCAAACAGGAUUAGAUACCCCUGUAGUC